rnacentral:rRNA from 1 species
UACGAAGGGGGCUAGCGUUGCUCGGAAUCACUGGGCGUAAAGCGCACGUAGGCGGAUCUUUAAGUCAGGGGUGAAAUCCUGGAGCUCAACUCCAGAACUGCCUUUGAUACUGGGGAUCUCGAGUCCGGGAGAGGUGAGUGGAACUCCGAGUGUAGAGGUGAAAUUCGUAGAUAUUCGGAAGAACACCAGUGGCGAAGGCGGCUCACUGACCCGGUACUGACGCUGAGGUGCGAAAGCGUGGGGAGCAAACAGG